UCCGAUGUAGUCUAGCUGGUUAGGAUAUCUGGCUUUCACCUAGACGACCCGGGUUCGAGUCCCGGCAUCGGAA
rnacentral:tRNA from 1 species